GCGGGAUUGGUGGUAUUGGCAGUACACACGGGAGUUAAAUCCCCGUAGGCUUCGGCCUUGAGGGUUCGAAUCCCUCAUCCCGCACCA
rnacentral:tRNA from 1 species